rnacentral:rRNA from 1 species
GUAACGGCGAGUGAAGCGGCAACAGCUCAAAUUUGAAAUCUGGCUACUUUGUAGUCCGAGUUGUAAUUUGUAGAGGAUGCUUUUGGUGAGGUGCUUUCUGAGUUCCCUGGAACGGGACGCCAGAGAGGGUGAGAGCCCCGUACAGUUAGCAACUGAUCCUUUGUAUAGCUCCUUCGACGAGUCGAGUAGUUUGGGAAUGCUGCUCUAAAUGGGAGGUAUAUCUCUUCUAAAGCUAAAUAUAGGCUAGAGACCGAUAGCGCACAAGUAGAGUGAUCGAAAGAUGAAAAGCACUUUGAAAAGAGAGUUAAACAGCACGUGAAAUUGUUGAAAGGGAAGCGCCUAUGACCAGACUUGUUUCUAUCAGUUUUGGUAGUUUUCGGACUGCUUUACUCUGUUAGUACAGGCCAACAUCAGUUUGUUGUCGGGGAGAAAGGCUUAGGGAAUGUGGCUCCCUCGGGAGUGUUAUAGACCUUUGCAUAAUACCCUUCGGCAGACUGAGGACCGCGCUUCGGCAAGGAUGUUGGCGUAAUGGUCAUCAGCGACCCGUCUUGAAACACGGACCAAGGAGUCAACCUUAUAUGCGAGUGUUUGGGUGUAAAACCCCAGCGCGUAAUGAAAGUGAACGUAGAUGAGAGCUUCGGCGCAUCAUCGACCGAUUCUGAUGUUCUCGGAUGGAUUUGAGUAAGAGCAUAUAGGGUUGGACCCGAAAGAAGGUGAACUAUGCUUGUAUAGGGUGAAGCCAGAGGAAACUCUGGUGGAGGCUCGCAGCGGUUCUGACGUGCAAAUCGAUCGUCAAAUAUGAGCAUGGGGGCGAAAGACUAAUCG